rnacentral:rRNA from 1 species
CAGGCUUAACACAUGCAAGUCGAGGGGCAUCAGGAAGAAAGCUUGCUUUCUUUGCUGGCGACCGGCGCACGGGUGAGUAACACGUAUCCAACCUGCCCUUUACUCGGGGAUAGCCUUUCGAAAGAAAGAUUAAUACCCGAUAGCAUAAUGAUUCCGCAUGGUUUCAUUAUUAAAGGAUUCCGGUAAAGGAUGGGGAUGCGUUCCAUUAGGUUGUUGGUGAGGUAACGGCCCACCAAGCCUUCGAUGGAUAGGGGUUCUGAGAGGAAGGUCCCCCACAUUGGAACUGAGACACGGUCCAAACUCCUACGGGAGGCAGCAGUGAGGAAUAUUGGUCAAUGGGCGCUAGCCUGAACCAGCCAAGUAGCGUGAAGGAUGAAGGCUCUAUGGGUCGUAAACUUCUUUUAUAUAAGAAUAAAGUGCGGUAUGUAUACUGUUUUGUAUGUAUUAUAUGAAUAAGGAUCGGCUAACUCCGUGCCAGCAGCCGCGGUAAUACGGAGGAUCCGAGCGUUAUCCGGAUUUAUUGGGUUUAAAGGGAGCGUAGGUGGACUGGUAAGUCAGUUGUGAAAGUUUGCGGCUCAACCGUAAAAUUGCAGUUGAUACUGUCAGUCUUGAGUACAGUAGAGGUGGGCGGAAUUCGUGGUGUAGCGGUGAAAUGCUUAGAUAUCACGAAGAACUCCGAUUGCGAAGGCAGCUCACUGGACUGCAACUGACACUGAUGCUCGAAAGUGUGGGUAUCAAACAGGAUUAGAUACCCUGGUAGUCCACACAGUAAACGAUGAAUACUCGCUGUUUGCGAUAUACAGUAAGCGGCCAAGCGAAAGCAUUAAGUAUUCCACCUGGGGAGUACGCCGGCAACGGUGAAACUCAAAGGAAUUGACGGGGGCCCGCACAAGCGGAGGAACAUGUGGUUUAAUUCGAUGAUACGCGAGGAACCUUACCCGGGCUUAAAUUGCAGUGGAAUGAUGUGGAAACAUGUCAGUGAGCAAUCACCGCUGUGAAGGUGCUGCAUGGUUGUCGUCAGCUCGUGCCGUGAGGUGUCGGCUUAAGUGCCAUAACGAGCGCAACCCUUAUCUUUAGUUACUAACAGGUUAUGCUGAGGACUCUAGAGAGACUGCCGUCGUAAGAUGUGAGGAAGGUGGGGAUGACGUCAAAUCAGCACGGCCCUUACGUCCGGGGCUACACACGUGUUACAAUGGGGGGUACAGAAGGCAGCUAGCGGGUGACCGUAUGCUAAUCCCAAAAUCCUCUCUCAGUUCGGAUCGAAGUCUGCAACCCGACUUCGUGAAGCUGGAUUCGCUAGUAAUCGCGCAUCAGCCACGGCGCGGUGAAUACGUUCCCGGGCCUUGUACACACCGCCCGUCAAGCCAUGGGAGCCGGGGGUACCUGAAGUACGUAACCGCAAGGAUCGUCCUAGGGUAAAACUGGUGACUGGGGCUAAA